UGGCGGCCCCACGCCUCGGCGCCGCCCCGCGCCACGGGGCCGGCGCGAGCGAGCGUGGCGCGGCCCGUCGCCGGCGCCGUGCCCCCGCGCCAAAACCCCGGGUCCCGAGGACGGCGGGCCCGGCCGGGCAGGGCUUUGUGAGGCGCGGAGGCGACGAGGACAGCGAGGGCACGAAGGGAGGACGGGGUCAAAGAGGACGGGUCUGUCGCUCACCCCGGACGCCGACGCGUUGACGAUGCCCAUAGUCUAUAGUCAUUAACGGGGCACAGGGAGGAGGCUGGAGGUUUGAGCUGUGGUCCUUUCAGUGCUGCAUAUCCCACAUGCCCGUCCUCCUCCUCGCACAUAGAGAGAGCAAGGAUGCCCCUUCCUACAAGUCCCUCCCGCUGCGCCUUUGUGACGGACGGCACCUGCACCUGGCGCAACCCUUGCUCUUCCCUCAAGCCAUCUCCCUCAAGUUACCUACACGGCUUGGAGGAGCAAGCAGCGGCCUAACGAGCCCCUAAUGCUAACGUGACACUCCACGGAAGGAAGCACAGUGACUUCAUGGCUGUUGAGAGAGCAUUUUCCUUUCAUAUAUAUAUAUAUAUAUAUUCACAGGUUAAUCUGGAAAACCUGGGUGUCCCUCCUCUACGGCUGCAAAGUGGUUGCCGUAAGACGUGCUUUACAGAGGGCAUUAGCUGGACCCUUGCUGAUGUCCUAUUUUGAACUGAAAUGUCCCUUUGCCAGCACAGCUAUAAUUUGACAGACUAAUGGACUUAUAUAGUAAAAUAUCAGGCAGAUGAAAUAUCUUCUGUGCAGACCCCUUGGGAUCCAUUGAAUCCAACAUUAACUAACACUGAUUAUUUAAAUGCUCUUUCCGGUCAUAUACACUGUAAUUUAUUGGC